rnacentral:rRNA from 1 species
AUACGUAGGGGGCGAGCGUUGUCCGGAAUGAUUGGGCGUAAAGGGCGCGUAGGCGGCCUGUUAAGUCUGGAGUGAAAGUCCUGUUUUCAAGAUGGGAAUUGCUUUGGAUACUGAUGGGCUUGAGUGCAGGAGAGGUUAUCGGAAUUCCUGGUGUAGCGGUGAAAUGCGUAGAGAUCGGGAGGAACACCAGUGGCGAAGGCGGGUAACUGGACUGCAACUGACGCUGAGGCGCGAAAGUGUGGGGAGCAAACAGGAUUAGAUACCCUGGUAGUCCACACUGUAAACGAUGAAUGCUAGGUGUAAGAGGUAUCGACCCCUUUUGUGCCGGAGUUAACACAAUAAGCAUUCCGCCUGGGGAGUACGGCCGCAAGGUUGAAACUCAAAUGAAUUGGCGGGG